UACGUAGGGUGCGAGCGUUAAUCGGAAUUACUGGGCGUAAAGCGUGCGCAGGCGGUUCGUUGUGUCGGUGGUGAAAGCCCCGGGCUCAACCUGGGAAUGGCCAUGGAAACUGGCGAACUGGAGUGUGGCAGAGGGGGGUGGAAUUCCGCGUGUAGCAGUGAAAUGCGUAGAUAUCAAGAGGAACACCUGAGGUGAAGACGGGUUGCUGGGCCGACACUGACGCUGACAGUGCGAAAGCCAGGGGAGCAAACGGG
rnacentral:rRNA from 1 species